rnacentral:lncRNA from 1 species
AGAAGGUCUGUGACACCAGUGAAAAAUGAAUGAGUAGGUGUCCCUCACAAAGAACAAAAGGCUGUAGGCAUCCAGCAGAUAAAACAUUUUCUUAGAGGCUCUUGUUAUACUUUGUAAUAUUAUUUUGUACUGGCACAGCAGUGGGCAUAAAGUUGGCACAGUAAAUAUAGGUUGAUUUGAAUUUAACCAGCACUUUGUGGAACUGUAGGCCAAUGUGGAGCCCACCGUGUGGUGUGUCCUUCUUGAUCCCAAAAAGCAGGGAAACGAAAAUACCCUCUGAAAAUCAUUAAGCUGAGAAGUGAAUACCUAAUAGAUUAAAGAAAAGAAAUGAUAUGAUCUCAAGAGAUUGAAAGACAUCUUGGAACUGGGUGUGGUGGCACACACAUGUAAUCCCAGCUAGGAGGCUGAGACAGGAGGAUCAAAAGUUCAGGACCAGCCUGGAUAACCUAGCGAGACCCUGUCUCAGAAUAAAAUUUUAAGAAAAAGCUGAGGAUGUAGCUCAGCGCUGGAGCACUUGUGUGAAGAAGCCCUGGGUUCAAUUCCCCAUACCAUGGAACACACACAUACACACACCCAUUGGGCAGUAAGAUUUGACUAUAACCUAGUUGAAGAUAUUGACGUCUUAUACACACAUGUGCACACACACCUACCUUGAGCAGUAAGAUUUGACUAUUGAGGGUAUUGACAUCUUAAACACAUUCUCUCUCUCUCUCUCUCUCUCUCUCUCUCUCUCUCUCUCUCUCUCCAUCAAAAGAGUGCUUUCUCUGCAUGCAAAGAAAAACAAAAGCUUUUCUACUAUAAAUUGUAUGGUAUCAAACAAAGCACUGUCAGACCAACACUACCUGCCAGGUGAAGGCCAGCAUCCCGUGUGCCUGGCAAACAGACAGCCCUGUUCUAGAGAACUGCAGAGGCUCUUGCCACAUUUCUCUGGGAUUCUUCUCAUUUAUUGCACUAGCUCUGCCUCUGUGUGCACCCAGCUUCCCCAGCUUUCCUCAUAUCAUUUGCUUUCCCAAGGAGGUAUUCCACUAUCAGGCUGACAUAGAUGUUGUGUGCUAUGAAUUAAUA